GCACUGCCGAGGAGUCCCACAAUAGGACGAAACGGCCGUCCAGUAC
rfam:Schistosoma curassoni strain Dakar, Senegal genome assembly, scaffold: SCTD_scaffold0001140